GAUCCUGGCUCAGAUUGAACGCUGGCGGCAUGCCUUACACAUGCAAGUCGAACGGCAGCACGGACUUCGGUCUGGUGGCGAGUGGCGAACGGGUGAGUAAUGUAUCGGAACGUACCUUUCAGUGGGGGAUAACGUAGCGAAAGUUACGCUAAUACCGCAUAUUCUGUGAGCAGGAAAGCAGGGGGAUCGCAAGACCUUGCGCUGAUUGAGCGGCCGAUAUCAGAUUAGCUAGUUGGUGGGGUAAAGGCCUACCAAGGCGACGAUCUGUAGCGGGUCUGAGAGGAUGAUCCGCCACACUGGAACUGAGACACGGUCCAGACUCCUACGGGAGGCAGCAGUGGGGAAUUUUGGACAAUGGGGGCAACCCUGAUCCAGCCAUGCCGCGUGAGUGAAGAAGGCCUUCGGGUUGUAAAGCUCUUUCGGCCGGGAAGAAAUCGCACAGGCUAAUACCCUGUGUGGACGACGGUACCGGAAUAAGAAGCACCGGCUAACUACGUG
rnacentral:rRNA from 1 species